UACCCUACGGGGGGCAGCAGUGGGGGAUAUUGCACAAUGGGGGAAACCCUGAUGCAGCGACGCCGCGUGAGUGAAGAAGUAUUUCGGUAUGUAAAGCUCUAUCAGCAGGGAAGAAAAAAGACGGUACCUGACUAAGAAGCCCCGGCUAACUACGUGCCAGCAGCCGCGGUAAUACGUAGGGGGCAAGCGUUAUCCGGAUUUAUUGGGUUUAAAGGGUGCGCAGGCGGAAUGUCAAGUCAGCGGUAAAAUUUCGGGGCUCAACCCCGUCGUGCCGUUGAAACUGGCGUUCUUGAGUGAGCGAGAAG
rnacentral:rRNA from 1 species